UACACUCCUGCGGGAGGCAGCAGUGGGGAAUUUUGGACAAUGGGCGAAAGCCUGAUCCAGCAAUGCCGCGUGAGUGAAGAAGGCCUUCGGGUUGUAAAGCUCUUUUGUCAGGGAAGAAACGGUGAGAGCUAAUAUCUCUUGCUAAUGACGGUACCUGAAGAAUAAGCACCGGCUAACUACGUGCCAGCAGCCGCGGUAAUACGUAGGGUGCAAGCGUUAAUCGGAAUUACUGGGCGUAAAGCGUGCGCAGGCGGUUUUGUAAGUCUGAUGUGAAAUCCCCGGGCUCAACCUGGGAAUUGCAUUGGAGACUGCAAGGCUAGAAUCUGGCAGAGGGGGGUAGAAUUCCACGUGUAGCAGUGAAAUGCGUAGAUAUGUGGAGGAACACCGAUGGCGAAGGCAGCCCCCUGGGUCAAGAUUGACGCUCAUGCACGAAAGCGUGGGGAGCAAACAGGAUUAGAAACCCGAGUAGUCCCAUGAU
rnacentral:rRNA from 1 species